UACGAAGGGGGCUAGCGUUGCUCGGAAUCACUGGGCGUAAAGGGUGCGUAGGCGGGUCCUUAAGUCAGGGGUGAAAUCCAGGAGCUCAACUCCAGAACUGCCUUUGAUACUGAAGAUCUUGAGUUCGGGAGAGGUGAGUGGAACUGCGAGUGUAGAGGUGAAAUUCGUAGAUAUUCGCAAGAACACCAGUGGCGAAGGCGGCUCACUGGCCCGAUACUGACGCUGAGGCACGAAAGCGUGGGGAGCAAACAGG
rnacentral:rRNA from 1 species